rnacentral:rRNA from 1 species
UACGGUAGGGUGCAAGCGUUAUCCGGAUUUACUGGGUUUAAAGGGUGUGUAGGCGGACUUUUAAGUCAGCGGUGAAAUCUCCGGGCUCAACCCGGGAAACUGCCAUUGAUACUAUUAGUCUUGAAUGUUGUUGAGGUGGGCGGAACGGGUCAUGUAGCGGUGAAAUGCAUAGAUAUGACCCGGAACACCGAUUGCGAAGGCAGCCCACUAAGCAACUAUUGACGCUGAGGCACGAAAGCGUGGGGAUCAAACAGG